UAUAUAUUUUAUCUAUAUAAAUAAACCACAGAUUAGAGUUUUAACUACAUUCUAGCAUGAAAAACAGUUAAAACUUCAUUUUCGGACGCAUAUAGAGCCAUCGAAGACGGGGCAAUUGUCCCAAUGUCUAGCCUGAAGACAGGCGCCUCUCGGCGGAUGAGCGCCGUUACCGCCUGGAAGUCAUAGAUCUCCGCUACCGGCAAAACACACUUAAAAUUACACACAAUCUUUACUAACAAUCCACAGAUUUGAGUUUUGAAGAACUACAUUCUCGCAUGAAAAAGUGUUAAAACUUUAUUUCAUUACAUAUUACAAGCAAUAUUUAUAAUAUUAUGUGCCUUCUCAUCCACCAUUACAGCUUGAUGCAGCUUGGUGCAAAAUGAAUCCUGGGAGGAAAAAAAUAAUAAUUCUCAAUUAAUACACUCCAAACGAACUUUAUUCUUAUUGUUAAAAUCAGAGAUAUGUAAUAUUUUGAAUGGCGAAGAAAAUAAUUAACUUUAUAUUUCAAUCAAUAUAUUACUUUUGCACUGCUUCGGUUCAGGACUCGUGUGACAUUGAAUCAGAUUCAGAUAUUUUAUCAGACGUGUUCAUGAGCUCAUAGUCAUCAACAAGCAAUUCGUGUACAAGCAGUACACGAACCAAGCAAUAUGAUGAAAUAUUAAUGAAUUAUAUGUUUGCGUCUUACAAUAUUAUACAAAACGGAAUCGUUUUCAGGCGAAUUCGACUCUUUACUGUUCACUUAAAGGAGCCGAAUUCAACUCUUUACUGUUCACUUAAAGGAGCCGAUUCAUUUAACAGAACUGACUCGACUCAACCGCAAACAAGCGCCAUCACCACAGACAACGCGUCGUCUCUUCACCCAACGGAUUCAUCCUCGUACAAGACUGAAGUAAAGGUGAAAUGACUAAAGUUAAGGUGUACCUGAUAAUAGCUGAAGUGUGAGGUGAGUGUAAAUUCUGAGCACACAAAUAUAACCUAAAUUCAUUAUCACAAUCUAAACCUAUAUAUAUAUAUAGAGUGUGUGCGUGUGUUAGGUUGAGUCUUAUUCUAAUCUUAUUAUAUUAAUUUUUUUUUGCAGCCACAGCCAUUGAUGUUGAAACACUGAUGCUACCAAUCAACCCUCGCCUGAUUAUUAAAGGUAAUGUUGAUGCCUUCCUCAUUUUUAUUAGAUUUUUUAAUGUCAGGUUUUUCACAGAUUUGUUGUGAGCAGUUUCUUGUACAAACUCUUUUUCUUCUUCCAGAAGUUCCACCAGUACCUCCAGUAGUAGUAAAUAUUAGACAAAGAUUUUUUUAAACUAUAGUUUUUAUUUUUAUUAGCAAUUUUACUGGGCAUGUGUGUUUGUUUGCUUGGUUUUUAAUAGGCAGAGCAUGGAAUGUCAACUUUGUUUCUACAAAAAAAUUUAAUUAUUCACAAACAUCUCUAAUUUAGUCCUUCUUUCCCCCUUUUAGUCUUAUUCCUUGGACUCGGAGGGUCGAGUGGUCAUGGGACCUCACCUGGAUUUCACAACUGACUUUGGAUCUGGUCUGAAACUGAAGUAUGCUGAAGAUGCCUUUUGCACUCUGGAAUUUAAGGUAAUGUCUACAAUAAAUAUUGUAACUGAGGGCUUGUUUUGGGGGGGUUAAACAAGGAAUGUAUAGGAGCACAAGUCAUGACUCCCCUUGUCCCCUUGUUAUAAAGGGCCGUGUUGCAGACACAAUUUGUUUGUCUGUACUGGAGACCAGAGGGGAAGCUGUCUUUAAAAGGAUGGGGCUCUUAUACCAUAUGUGAAGUUACCUAUUCAGGUGAGUGGAUUACAUGCAAGUCAUUGCAAAUGCAUAAAUAGUGGGAAUUUUUUACUGGGCAGCACAAAUUAAGUGAAACUCAAAAAACGUUGAAAAAUAUUUGGAAUAUUUGCAAAAAACUUGAUUGAAAUGAAUACAACACAAGUGCUGUAUCACUUCAAUCAAGUUUUUUUUUGCAAAAUUUUCCUAAUAUUCAAAUCAUGAAAAAUUAGCUUGAUGCAAGAAACAUCCUGCUAGUAUUCAAGAGCAAGUGCUGUGAUGCAUGUGUUAACUUUGCAAUAAGUGUGAAUCCAGCAUUAGAUUAUAGUCUGUAAACAGAAGGUGUAAAUCAAAUCAACUGUUUUAAAAUGCUCUGCCUAGGUCAUUAAAACCACUAUUUGUUGUUGGACUGUUCUUGAUUGUGUGUUUGUGAUGGAAAUGUUUUUCAGAUGUUUUUGUUUAAAUGAUUGCAGUUUGACUGAGCUACAGUAUUGUCAGCAUGUUCAAACUGAGCUAACAGUAAUUUUGCUCUGUAGUGCAGCAGUAGUGUCCCAGUAGUGUUGUAUGAAGCUAACUGUUUGUCUGCUCUUUUGCUUAUAGGUGCUUUUUGGGCACCAGUUUGGAGAUGGAAGACAGACGAAGUCAAAGAAGCAGAGAAGACACAUCAACCAGCAAGUGUGUAAAAUUAUCAGGAAAAUGAUUGACCUUGAAUAGACGACUGCCUAAUUUAGCAAGAAGUUUUGUCUCUCUCUCUCUCAUGUGUAUAUAUAUAUAUAUAUAUAUAUAUAUAUAUAUAUAUAUAUAUAAAAAAUGAGAGAGAGAGCGCACUCUGAAGCACUGCUUUUUAUAUGUAUGCUACAUAUGAUGUCAGAUUUUUUUAUUAAUAUGUUCUUAUAGUAUUUUUUGAGGCUUCACCUUCACCUUUUGAAAGUUUUCUGAAAUGUUUACACAGAUGUCAUUAAGCUGUUAAAUAAAUCUGUAAAAUGUAUUUGUGUUUGUUUUUAUUUUGAUUUUAGAGUCUUUUCAGAUCACCCAAUAAUGAAGAUCUGUCGUCAUUUACGCAUCCUCAGGUUGUUUGGACACAAAGAGGAAUAUUUGAUAUUUUUAUUCCUGUGUUUAACAAAAAAAAAACAUUUUUAACAGAGCUGGAACAACCUGAGGGUGAGUAAAUCAAGAUAGAAUUUUCAUUUUUGUGUGACCUAAAAUUGCUUUGAAAUUUUACAGCACCAAACUGUUAAAUUACAGUAAUCCGGGAUAUAACUGUAACUUUAAAGUUAAAUCAGGUAUUUAAACUGCAACCUACUGCUAAAUCACAGUAAUCGUUUUGCAAAUUCACAGUAAAAUAUAGUUAAUUCUACAAGAUAAUACUGUGAAAUUACAGUAACUGACUUUAUUAUCUACUGUAAAGUUACAAUAUAUGGUUGUAAUUUCACAAUAAUUUAAUGUGACAAAACCACAGUAAAUUACUGUGAACUACCUCACAAUAAUUUACUGUGAAUUUACAUACAGUAAUUUACUGUGAAAGUAAUGCAAUUAUUAGCCAGUAAUUUACUGUGAAUUUAAGGUCAAUUUUUUUACAGUGUAUAGAAAAUUUGCAGAGUUGAAAAGCCUGUGUGGGCAAGACAGCCUACAAAUCUGACUCAAUUACACCAGUUCUGUCAGGAGAAACAGGCGAAAUUCAUGCAAACUAUUGUGAAAAACUUGUGGAAGGAUACGCAAAACAUUUGACCAAGUUAUACAGUUUAAAAGCAAAUCUAAAAAAUACCAAGGAAAUGUGUGUAAACUUUUGAC
rnacentral:lncRNA from 1 species